rnacentral:rRNA from 1 species
GGGGGACCUUCGGGCCUCUUGCCAUCGGAUGUGCCCAGAUGGGAUUAGCUAGUAGGUGGGGUAACGGCUCACCUAGGCGACGAUCCCUAGCUGGUCUGAGAGGAUGACCAGCCACACUGGAACUGAGACACGGUCCAGACUCCUACGGGAGGCAGCAGUGGGGAAUAUUGCACAAUGGGCGCAAGCCUGAUGCAGCCAUGCCGCGUGUAUGAAGAAGGCCUUCGGGUUGUAAAGUACUUUCAGCGGGGAGGAAGGGAGUAAAGUUAAUACCUUUGCUCAUUGACGUUACCCGCAGAAGAAGCACCGGCUAACUCCGUGCCAGCAGCCGCGGUAAUACGGAGGGUGCAAGCGUUAAUCGGAGGGAGUGGGCGUAAAGCGCACGCAGGCGGUUUGUUAAGUCAGAUGUGAAAUCCUCUCGUCUAUAAG